rnacentral:rRNA from 1 species
GGGGAAUUUUCCGCAAUGGGCGAAAGCCUGACGGAGCAAGACCGCGUGAGGGAGGAAGGUCUGUGGAUUGUAAACCUCUUUUCUCAGGGAAGAAGAACUGACGGUACCUGAGGAAUCAGCAUCGGCUAACUCCGUGCCAGCAGCCGCGGUAAUACGGAGGAUGCAAGCGUUAUCCGGAAUUAUUGGGCGUAAAGCGUCCGUAGGUGGCUUUACAAGUCUGCUGUUAAAGAGCGGAGCUUAACUCCGUAAAGGCGGUGGAAACUGCAUAGCUAGAGUGUGGUAGGGGUAGAGGGAAUUCCCAGUGUAGCGGUGAAAUGCGUAGAUAUUGGGAAGAACACCGGUGGCGAAGGCGCUCUACUGGGCCACAACUGAC